GACGAAGGGGGCUAGCGUUGUUCGGAAUUACUGGGCGUAAAGCGCGUGUAGGCGGUUGCCCAAGUCGGGUGUGAAAGCCUUGAGCUCAACUCAAGAAAUGCACUCGGUACUGGGUGACUAGAGGACCGGAGAGGAUAGUGGAAUUCCCAGUGUAGUGGUGAAAUACGUAGAGAUUGGGAAGAACACCAGUGGCGAAGGCGGCUAUCUGGACGGUUUCUGACACUAAGACUCGAAAGCGUGGGGAGCAAACAGG
rnacentral:rRNA from 1 species